GUGAAUGGAAAGUCCAAGAAUCUUGUAGUUGCUCAGUCCCACAAUGCUGGGUGUCUCAACUGGUUCUUCUGUAAAAGCUGAAAUCCCAAAGAGGCCUCCAGCGGAAGGUACAGCUCAAGUUAAAGGUGUGCCUCAAGAUCUGGUUUGAAGGCAUGCACUAACCUGCUUCAGGACCUGGAUCAAAAGUUCAUGUCUUCUAGCCUCAGGAUUGGGACCAAAGGCAUGUUGUCUUCCUACCUCAAGAUCGGGAUCACAGGGUUCAAAUGGGCCGUGAAGAAUGGUGGUCUAGACAGUGCAUCCAGGU
rnacentral:lncRNA from 1 species